GGUGACCUCGGAGCUUGCUCCGGGCGAUCAGUGGCGAACGGGUGAGUAACACGUGAGUAACCUGCCCCAGACUCUGGGAUAACCUCGGGAAACCGGGGCUAAUACCGGAUACGUGACGUUUCCGCAUGGAAUGCGUCUGGAAAGAUUUAUCGGUCUGGGAUGGACUCGCGGCCUAUCAGCUAGUUGGUGAGGUAACGGCUCACCAAGGCGACGACGGGUAGCCGGCCUGAGAGGGCGACCGGCCACACUGGAACUGAGACACGGUCCAGACUCCUACGGGAGGCAGCAGUGGGGAAUAUUGCACAAUGGGCGCAAGCCUGAUGCAGCGACGCCGCGUGGGGGAUGAAGGCCUUCGGGUUGUAAACCCCUUUCAGCAAGGAAGAAGCGAAAGUGACGGUACUUGCAGAAGAAGCGCCGGCUAACUACGUGCCAGCAGCCGCGGUAAUACGUAGGGCGCAAGCGUUGUCCGGAAUUAUUGGGCGUAAAGAGCUCGUAGGCGGUCUGUCGCGUCUGCUGUGAAAACCCGAGGCUCAACCUCGGGCCUGCAGUGGGUACGGGCAGACUAGAGUGUGGUAGGGGAGACUGGAAUUCCUGGUGUAGCGGUGGAAUGCGCAGAUAUCAGGAGGAACACCAAUGGCGAAGGCAGGUCUCUGGGCCACAACUGACGCUGAGGAGCGAAAGCGUGGGGAGCG
rnacentral:rRNA from 1 species